GGAAGGGAGGAAGCGUAGAAGGUGCCGAUGCACUUUUCCUCUCUCCAGCCCUCCUGACUGCUCCAAGAAUUUCAUCGAACAAGACUCAAAGAGGCCCAGCUGCUCUGCGUUUUGAUUCUUCUCCCUCUCUCAGUCCACACUGACCUGGGAGGGGCUUCUCAAACACCACAUUUCCUAGCGUGCUGUGAGAAGAGGACUGUGAGCUAAGAAGGGAGAAAAGGCCCAACACCACGUGGAAACCACCAAGGCUUGGGGCUUGCACCCUCUGAAGCAAUGGCCUGAGCUGUACCUUGACCCCUUUUAGCCACUGCUGGAGCUGGAGCAGCUGAGAUGCAGGGCCCCAUGUCCCAAGGCUGCACAGAGCAGUGGGGCCCUGGGUCUGGCCCACAAAACCAUUUUUUCCUCCUAGGCUUCCAGGCCUGUGAUAAGAGGUGCCGCUAUGAAGGUCUCAGACAUGCCCUGGAGACACUUUCCCUAUUGUCUUGGUGAUUAACAUUCAGCUCCUCAUUACUUAUGCAAAUUUCUGGAGUGUUUUAGCAGGCUUGACUUUCUCCCCCCAAAAUGGGUUUUUAUUUUCUUUCACAACAUCUGGCUGC
rnacentral:lncRNA from 10 species